GCUUCAGAUUGAAUUCUAACUAUCGAAUAGCGUAAAAUCUCUCCUUAACAAAGUCGAGAUAAAUAGCAACUGUUGGAUCGAGUGAUGGAUGGAAUCUAAGCCAUCGGAUCGUAUCCAGAAAUCCUAUUCAAAGUAGAAAAUGAUGCUGGCCAUUGGAUCUAAGUUCAGAUUGAUUUUCAGCCAUUGGAUCGUGCAAAACCUUCCACCUCACUUGUGAGCCAUGUCGUGCACCGUAAAACUAUUCC
rnacentral:lncRNA from 1 species